AGGAGUGUAGCUCAAUUGGUAGAGCACCGGUCUCCAAAACCGGGGGUUGGGGGUUCGAUUCCUCUCACUCCUGCCA
rnacentral:tRNA from 1 species